GGGGGGGGGGGGUGCUAAACAGACACUGUACAGAGGGAAAAGAGACAUAAUUUAGCUGUGUUGCUAGUAUGAUUCCAUUUUUAAAGGAGGGGAGGGGGAGAGCCUAGAGCUCUAACUGUUUUUAGUUGCAUAUGGAAAUAUCUAAAAAAUAUUUAGCAUUUUUACUAAGUGCGUUGAGGCCUCUCCAGUGUCCUCCUGGCUGUGGCUGCUUUGUCAUUCUCUUUGACUAGCCAGCCAUCUACCUUGCUCAGGCCUGGAAUAAAAGAAGAACAAGAAGAAGAAAGAAAUGAAAUGAAAAACAGAAAGAAAAAGGAGAAGAAACAUUUGAAAAAGGGUCAUCUUCCCAACUGCCUCCCCUCCUUUUCCUUUCAUUUUUGGUGGCGGCACAGGAAAGCCCCACUUCCAGUCUGAUGAGGAAAGCGACAAUCUAUCAGGUACAGAACCAGGGGCUGUCUGCGAAGAUGGAGGGGAAUUAUGCUUCGGAUUCCUCUGAAAUAUUGGCCAAAGGCUUCAAAGAAUCCGCAGCGGGAGGUGCGGGGGGAAUGUCUCUCCCCAGCCCGCACCCAGCCCUUCCCACUUCGUGUCUACCAAAUGACAGCCUGGUGCUCGCUCUUGGUGAUUUGGCCUUGACUUCAGCCAAGCAGCUGAUGCAGACGAAGGCUCCGUUUGCAGGACUGGCAAAGUGCACGCUAAAGAAAGAAGGAAGAAAUUUUUCAAAAAGCAGCUCUGGGGAGGUUUCAUACUCCCCCCCCCCCUUUUUUUAAUUUUUAAGUGAAUAUUUUCCAAAUUUGAUCAGUUCCAGCCCCUCCCUCCACUCCCACCCAACUGCCCUUUUUUCUCUCGUCAAAGCAUAAGCUACAGAGUUACAGUCUCGAGAUUUGGUGUAUCGCUUCCUGCCCCCGCCUCCCCUCCCCGCCCCCGUUCUCCGUCCUCUAUUGAAACACCUCGCCCAGCCUAGAGCACUGAGAGCUCUCAUUUCCCCCCCUUGCUCGGGAUGGUGCCACAGGAGGCUGUGCGGGCCCCGCUCCGCUUCGAAUGGAUACAGUUAAGCUAAUGAUCUCGAGAGGAUAUCGUCCUGGAUAAGGGUGGAGCCUACGCCCAAAAACAAGAUUACCUGAAAGAGAAAAGAAAGGGGGAAAACACACAGAGAUACAGUCAUGGAGGCCACAUGAAGAUGGAGGCAGAGACAGGAGUGAUGAGCCUGCAAGCCAAGGAAUGCCAAGGGCUGCCAGCAGCCGUGAGAAGCUGAGAGACACAGAGAACGAGUCCUCUGCCAGAGCCUCCAGAAGGAACUAACCCUGUCAAUACCUUGAUUUCGGACUUCUGGACUCCAGAACUAUAACCCUCCUUCCUCCACCUCACAAAAACUCACAAGCUGCAACCCUUCUGAUGUCCACUCCCACACAAACCAGCUUCAGGCCUUUUUCAAGUUCUGGAGGUCAGAAUUCUGACAUGGAUCUCACUGGGCUGAAAUCAAGCUGUUGGCAUGGCUGCAUUCCUUCUGGAAACUCUAGUGAGAAAUUCAUUUUCUUGCCUUUUUCAGCGUCUAGAGGCCACACCUUGUUCAGAAUUAAUAGAUCACCUCUGAUGUAGAUGGGAUGGAAUUCCAAGUGUUGGGAAUACUUCUAGCAGCUAAAGUUAAGAGCGUACCAGAUGUGUUCAGAGAACCUCGAGUUGAUCUGAAAAGAGAAUCUGCUCAAGGAGAAAACAAUUGGAUGCUGUGGGGCACCACCUCCUUGAGGACCAAGGCACUCCAGCUGCCAGGAAUUUGGCUGCUAACCUCACACAGCUGAGCCUUCCAUGAAAAUUGCUCUCUGCCAAAGAGAACUUCCUAGUCCAAGGUCAUGUCUACUCUCCAGAGAUGUGACUGGAGUGAUUUGCACCCAGAUGCCUAGACUCGCCAUCUGCUCAAAGACUGCUCAGAAAGCCCUCCCAUGCAUUCCCCCGCUGCAUACCAGCCCACUCUGCCUGCAGCUGCUGUCUGCAGGACUUCAUAUCUAUGCCACACUGUGUAAAAGCUGUGCUUCAAGGAAUCACAAAAACAUUUUCCUGCACCUACUACACAGCCUGAGUGCGGCAUAAGUUGACCUUGCUUGCUAAGAAAUGGGGCAAGAAAUGCUUUUUUGUGUGUGUCAUGUCUGUUUGUUUUUCAAUUAAGAGAGGAAAGCAUUAGGCAGAUGGAAUGUACAUGUGAGGAUGAGGAGACAGAAAACAAGUAGCCCUUUCCAUCAAGAUAGAGGGUUUUCUGGGGUUGCUGGCUCUUGAAUGUCACUCCUGAUUUCUCUUUCCAAGGCACUGUACCACCAGCCUACUGAGAUUGUGUGGGAGCUUUCAUGGGGGUUGUAUUUCACUGAUGAAAAUAAAUUUUGUGCAUAAUGUGAA